CCUACGGGUGACUGCAGUGAGGAAUAUUGGUCAAUGGGCGCGAGCCUGAACCAGCCAAGUAGCGUGAAGGAUGACUGUCCUACGGGCUGUAAACUUCUUUUAUAAAGGAAUAAAGUGAUGCACGUGUGCCUUCUCGUUUGUACGUUAUGAAUCAGGAUCGGCUAACUACGCGCCAUCAGCCGCGGCAAUACGGAGGAUCUGAGCGUUGUCCGGAUUUAUUGGGUUUAAAGGGACCGUAGGUGGGUUGUUAAGUCAGUUGUGAAAGUUUGCGGCUCAACCGUAGUAUUGCAAUUGAUACUGGCAGACUUGAGUGCAGAUGAGGAGGGCGGAAUUCGAGGUGUAGCGGUGAAAUGCUUAGAUAUAACGAAGAACUCCAGUUGCGAAGGCAGCUUACUAGUCUGUCACUGACAUUGAUGCUCGAAAGUGUGGGUAUCAAACAGGAUUAGAUACCCCGGUAGUC
rnacentral:rRNA from 1 species